GACGAACGCUGGCGGCGUGCUUAACACAUGCAAGUCGAACGGUGAAGCGCCUUCCUUUUUGGUGGGUGUGGAUGAGUGGCGAACGGGUGAGUAACACGUGAGUAACCUGCCCCCUUCUUCUGGAUAACCGCAUGAAAGUGUGGCUAAUACGGGAUAUUCUGGUUCUGUCGCAUGAUGGGUCUGGGAAAGAUAUUGUUUCGGUGGGGGAUGGGCUCGCGGCCUAUCAGCUUGUUGGUGGGGUGAUGGCCUACCAAGGCGGUGACGGGUAGCCGGCCUGAGAGGGUGGACGGUCACACUGGGACUGAGACACGGCCCAGACUCCUACGGGAGGCAGCAGUGGGGAAUAUUGCACAGUGGGCGAAAGCCUGAUGCAGCGACGCCGCGUGAGGGAUGGAGGCCUUCGGGUUGUGAACCUCUUUCGCCAGUGAAGCAGGCCUGCCUCGUUUGUGGGUGGGUUGACGGUAGCUGGAUAAGAAGCGCCGGCUAACUACGUG
rnacentral:rRNA from 1 species